rnacentral:rRNA from 1 species
UACGGGGGGAGCAAGCGUUGUUCGGAUUUACUGGGCGUAAAGGGCGCGUAGGCGGCGCAACAAGUCACUUGUGAAAUCUCCGGGCUUAACCCGGAGCGGUCAAGUGAUACUGUCGUGCUAGAGUGCGGAAGGGGCUACUGGAAUUCUCGGUGUAGCGGUGAAAUGCGUAGAUAUCGAGAGGAACACCUGCGGCGAAGGCGGGUUGCUGGGCUGACACUGACGCUGAUGCGCGAAAGCUAGGGGAGCGAACGGG